AGAUUGAACGCUGGCGGCAGGCCUAACACAUGCAAGUCGAGCGGUAGAGAGGUGCUUGCAUCUCUUGAGAGCGGCGGACGGGUGAGUAAUGCCUAGGAAUCUGCCUAGUGGUGGGGGAUAACGUUCGGAAACGGACGCUAAUACCGCAUACGUCCUACGGGAGAAAGCGGGGGACCUUCGGGCCUCGCGCCAUUAGAUGAGCCUAGGUCGGAUUAGCUAGUUGGUGAGGUAAUGGCUCACCAAGGCGACGAUCCGUAACUGGUCUGAGAGGAUGAUCAGUCACACUGGAACUGAGACACGGUCCAGACUCCUACGGGAGGCAGCAGUGGGGAAUAUUGGACAAUGGGCGAAAGCCUGAUCCAGCCAUGCCGCGUGUGUGAAGAAGGUCUUCGGAUUGUAAAGCACUUUAAGUUGGAGAAGGUUGUAACCUAAUACGUUGCAACUUUGACGUUACCGACAGAAUAAGCACCGGCUAAACUUCGUGCCAGCAGCCGUA
rnacentral:rRNA from 1 species